UUAAUAUACCUUCUCCGCUUUAGCAGCACGUAAUUAUUGGUGUGUGAGAAAUAAGACCCAAACCCCAAUAUUACUUGUGCUGCUUCAGUGUGGCAGGAUUAA
ensembl:miRNA mir16a microRNA 16-2